rnacentral:tRNA from 1 species
GGGCCGUUAACUCAGCCGGUAGAGUAAUGCACUUUUAAUGCAUGAGUCGCAGGUUCGAUCCCCGCACGGCCCA